rnacentral:misc_RNA from 1 species
AAGUCGUAACAAGGUUUCCGUAGGUGAACCUGCGGAAGGAUCAUUCACUUUCCGGGAUUCGGCAGCUGGGUUCGCCUGGCCGUCGGUCCUAACCAAACAACUUCAAACCUAACGGGGUCACUGUCUUCUUGGGUAGCGAGAGCUUCCCGGUGCGUGUUGUGUCCGUACCGAAACCCCCCUUAUAUUUUAAAUCCUGAGCGGAGCAAACUGUAAAAAGUGAGCUCUGAUUCUGUCAAUAACUGCCGUCGAAAGACGGAUGUGUGAGACUGGACCUAUGUGAUCUCCAACCUGCUGCUUAAUUGCAGCCUAUGUCAACGAUGACAUUACAACUCUUUGCAAUGGAUAUCUUGGCUCUC